AAACCGUUACCAUUACUUGUU
rnacentral:miRNA from 1 species